GACGAACGCUGGCGGCGUGCUUAACACAUGCAAGUCGAACGGAAAGGCCCUUCGGGGUACUCGAGUGGCGAACGGGUGAGUAACACGUGGGUGAUCUGCCCUGCACUUUGGGAUAAGCCUGGGAAACUGGGUCUAAUACCGAAUAUGAUCAUCAGCUUCAUGGUUGGUGGUGGAAAGCUUUUGCGGUGUGGGAUGGGCCCGCGGCCUAUCAGCUUGUUGGUGGGGUAAUGGCCUACCAAGGCGACGACGGGUAGCCGGCCUGAGAGGGUGACCGGCCACACUGGGACUGAGAUACGGCCCAGACUCCUACGGGAGGCAGCAGUGGGGAAUAUUGCACAAUGGGCGCAAGCCUGAUGCAGCGACGCCGCGUGAGGGAUGACGGCCUUCGGGUUGUAAACCUCUUUCAGCACGGACGAAGCGCAAGUGACGGUAUGUGCAGAAGAAGGGCCGGCCAACUACGUGCCAGCAGCCGCGGUAA
rnacentral:rRNA from 1 species